rnacentral:rRNA from 1 species
GACGAACGCUGGCGGCGUGCCUAAUACAUGCAAGUAGAACGCUGAAGGAGGAGCUUACCUCUCUGGAUGAGUUGCGAACGGGUGAGUAACGCGUAGGUAACCUGCCUGGUAGCGGGGGAUAACUAUUGGAAACGAUAGCUAAUACCGCAUAAGAGUAGAUGUUGCAUGACAUUUACAUAAAAGGUGCAAUUGCACCACUACCAGAUGGACCUGGGUUGUAUUAGCUAGUUGGUGGGGUAACGGCUUACCAAGGCGGCGAUACAUAGCCUACCUGAGAGGGGGAUCGGCCACACUGGGAAUGAGACACGGCCCAGACUCCUACGGGAGGCAGCAGUAGGGAAUCUUCGGCAAUGGACGGAAGUCUUACCGGGUAACGCCGCGUGAGUGAAGAAGGUUUUCGGAUCGUAAAGCUCUGUUGUAAGAGAAGAACGAGUGUGAGAGUGGAAAGUUCACACUGUGACGGUAUCUUACCAGAAAGGGACGGCUAACUACGUGCCAGCCGCCGCCGUAA